CUGGCAUAUCUCUAGAACUGUCGGCUGUUAUGGUGUAUGGUUGAGGGAGUGUCUGUGUCUAGCACCUACGACAAAAGCCUAGGGCGCAGACACAUGUAUUGUACAGUACAAAGGGCUCUAGGAUGCCGGUCUCCAGGGAUGACCCCUAUGUUAUCUGCUCGACGCUAGGCCCUGGAAGGGUUUUCGUUGGCAGGAUGGGUUCGUCUAGUUACUAAAUUUGAAGUAUUAAUUAUUAUAUGAAUUUACCUAAAUAGAUAUAGAAA
rnacentral:sRNA from 2 species